AAAAGUCGUAACAAGGUUUCCGUAGGUGAACCUGCGGAAGGAUCAUUAAUAAAAGGAUACCUUCGGGUAUACCCCAUCCGUGUCUAUAUACUCUUGUUGCUUUGGCAGGCCGUGGUCUUCCACUGUGGGCUCUGCCUGCAUGUGCCUGCCAGAGGACCAAACUCUGAAUUUUAGUGAUGUCUGAGUACUAUAUAAUAGUUAAAACUUUCAACAACGGAUCUCUUGGUUCUG
rnacentral:misc_RNA from 1 species